rnacentral:tRNA from 1 species
UCCGAUGUAGUCUAGUGGGUAUGAUUUGCGGCUCUCACCCGCAAGGCCCGCGUUCGAUUCACGGCAUCGGAA